AUUAAUUAAUGGCAAAACAGAAGAUGAAGUCGGCAGAAGUUUAGAGAGAGUUUUACUUACAAUGAGGAUUACAACUUCAGAACCUAAGGAUGUGGCAUUUGUUGUUGAUGGUUGGGCUCUUGAAAUUGCACUUAAGCAUUAUCGAACAGCUUUUACUGAA